CUCAAUUCUUGGCCUUUUGGCUAAGAUCAAGUGUAGUAUCUGUUCUUAUCAGAAACUCUCAGUGGAAGGUGUUAGCAUUUGCCCUUUUCAGGUGUGGAAACUGAGUCUCAGAGAAACUCAAGAUCUCUGAAUCAUCUCCAUUUAGGCUUCUCUAAACCUA
rnacentral:snRNA from 1 species